UUGAACUAACAUUACUCGGAAUACUACAUAUGCAGGAGACGACAAGGUAGCCAUAUGUAAGAAACGACAAGGUCGAUCUAGGUGAACAUGUCAUAUCCAUAAACGACAUGUCGUAUUAGUGGGAGGUCGAAAAUGUCAAACGGCCGACUAAAAUAUCAAUGUGUUAGAUGCAUAAAGAAAGAGCGAUGUUUAAUCGCAGAUAGACGCACGAACACAAGCAGUUCAGCGAUUAUAAUGGGAUCAAAAGCAGCAACACCACCAUACCCAAGUGCUGCGAGAAUCUCUGAUUCUCAGUGCUACCCUCAAUAUACUGCUUCUCUUAAAUGCCUGGAAGAGUUUAGCUCAGAUAAGAGUAAAUGUCAAAAGCAUUUUGAUGUUUACAAGGAAUGCAAGAAAAAAGAGAGGGAAGCUCGGCUGGAACACAACAGGAGUAGAUCAUUCUUCUCAUGAGAAGAUUAUGUAGAUCUUUGACAAUUGUUGGCGUUCGCUCAUCUCAGGUGUCAAGUAAUUCUUCCAAUCUCCAACCGUACCCAACCUGUAAAAGAAACUAUUUGGGACCUUUGAAGUCAUACCGUUCUUGGUCACAGCCAAGUUCUUAAGCCUAUCCAAACUGCACCUCUGCAUCACCUUUUGGACAUCCUCAUCCUCAUGGAAUGGUUUUCCAAGAAACGAAGCUAGCUUCUUGGCUUCCUCUAUAGGGUUGCUUUUGAGAUCUUCAUACUUCAAGAAGAGUAUCUUGUGAGGCAUUUUCAAGCUUUCUGUCCAAUAUGACAAAACAUGAUCAAAGAAUGGGCCAUAGGGGUGAACUCCGUUGCAGAAACUAUGGAAGGCCGUGUCAAAGGGAAGGGGAUCUUGCCGAGGUCUGAAGAUUUUGUUGAAGAAGUACCAUAGAGAAACUAAAGUGUCUUUUGGAUUUCUAGUUAUAUAAACUAUCUUGCAAUUGGCUUUCUUAAUUGAAUGAGGCAGGGAAUUAUAAGGAACAUGAGUGUGAAACAGUCUAGGUGACGGCAUACCUAGAGCUGCAGAUGAUAGAUCAGGAUGCAAACUAUCUUGGUAGAUCUGAUUCUCUAAGUUAGGUGCAUAAGCAUGAGGAACACCUUUAAUAAGAAGGUCUUCAUCAUCUGAAUCUCCAUGGAUGAUGGAAACGCAAACGGCCUUAAGCCAAGUGGUGCCAGUUUUCAAGGAGGAAGCUAUGAUGACAUCGUUAUCAUCUGCUUGGAAGUGGGACUGGAAGGCUGAUAUGCGUUCUAUUUCUGUAGAACUGCACCAAAAUUCUUCCCAUCUGUAGAUAUCAAUGACUUCCCAAAACUUUUCUCUAGGAAGCUGAUUCAGCUCCUGGUUUGAUGAACUUUUAGGUAGCUGAUCGUUUGAUGAAGUUUGGAGGGUAGGAUCCAUGGUAUUAGCUAAUGGGAAAAUAAGGCUCCGAUUUCUUCACAAGUUCCUUGCUUAGACGCCUGAAUGAUGCUAGUUGCACAACCAACCUAAAUGCUGGGGAAUGAUGGUGUGCUGGGGAGAGAGAGGCUAAAAGAAUCACCUUCAGUUCAGUCGUAACAAAGUACUGGGCUGUACAGGUUCGAGCUCCAAUUCCAAAUGGCAUCUCUCUUGCUCAAAUAGAGCAAGCAACUUCGCCAUACAGCGAG